CAAGUUUUGUUGGAAUGUGUUUUGGUUUACUGAAUUGGCAACCACUAGGCUGUUUUUUUUUUUUUGGUUUUUGUUUGUUUGUUUGUUUGUUUUAAUGAGUUCUCAAACUUCAUGUAUCCCUUAGAAGUCAGUGGGUAAAGAAUAACCUCCUCUCCAGGUGCUUUAUUCCCUACUCAGCCCUCCAUGGAACCUCCUUCCUAUGUCAGCAUUUCCUUUUGUGCCUCCCCUGGGCCUCCCUGGGGAUUUUGCCAAUGGCAAUAGAGCUUGGCUGCCUCCCAGGUUGCUGUCUGUGGUCUGGAGGCAUUACUAUCCUUUCUAUUCCACUGUAAUAAGAGGUGAUUUAUUUGCAAAAAUUUAAAAAAAAUAAGGAAUUUUAUUUAAAAUCUUAAGGAUAUGAGGGACUUGUUUUGCCAGUUUCUUCUUUGUCUUUGAGAUGGAAAUAGCUGCUUCAUGUCAUCCAUUGUACCUUUCAACCCCUGGGCUGGAAAGAAGUUGUGUUGACAGUGAUUUCAGAUUGUUAAGACCGGAUAUGGACUUGCUAUUUUGUUCUUCUAUGACCUCUCACACUUGCAAUUGGGAGAGGUUGGAAACCAGCAUACUAAGCAGAUGCCCACUACAUGUUACAGCUGUAACAACAGCACAGCCUCAGUGGGUCAGCAGUGUAGAGAACCUUACACUACUGUAUAAGACACAUCUGCAACAGAGUUAAGCCAUGAAGAAGGAUGCCAGUUUGCUUACGCUGUCAAGGAACACACAAUUAGAAAGACCCGAAUUUGCACCAUCUUCUUUCAUAUUCUCUACACAAGAUAAUAUCAGAAGUGCUGUUUCAAGUAAGAAUUGGAUGGGUCUGCCUUACUGUUCCCUUCAAAACCAUUAGAUGAUAGAAGGAAAAGCCACUUUUGUGUGUGUGGCUUAAUCCAGUAUUUGAUGUGCUACCUAAAGUCCAUAUUGAAGCAAUGUAUUGACCAAAUGACUGCUUGCUUUCAUGUGAGCAUCAAAAUCUACUUAUCUUUUAAAAAUAGCUGAGUGACAUCUGUGACAAUGAUGAAACAACCCUAUUCUCUCUUAACUUCAGCAACUUGUUUUUAUCUGCUCCCAUUGUCAAUUAUAAUUUCCUUUUACCUCCUUUCCUCCCAUUACCUCUACCCACUCCCCGCAUCCACUUCUCCUCUGUUUCUGUUCAUUAAGGGCAGGCCUUGCAUUGAUGUCAACAAAGCAUGGCAUAUCAAGUUGAGGUAGGACUAAGCUCCUCCCAUUGUAUUAAGGCUGGGUGAGGCAACCCACUAUGGGAAAUAGGCUUUCAAAAGCCAGCUCAAGUGUUAGGGAUA
rnacentral:lncRNA from 1 species